rnacentral:lncRNA from 1 species
GAAAGCCGGAGUCCAACACAGCCAACAAAUAUCCGAAAACUUUCCUGCUGUCCCCCUCCUCGCCCAGGCUGGGCAGGCGGAAGGCUCAGGUACCUCUGCUGAGUGCACCCCCCCCCCCCCGGCUCUGUGUCCUGAUAUCCCCUUCCCUCCCGCACUGUUUGAGGGUUUUUUUCCCUGGUGAUCUCCCUGCUCGGAGCCUCCGGACACCGCUCGUUCACGCACCGCAGACGCGCUGGACAGGCACGAGCACGGCAGACACACACGCACACGCACACGCACACGCACGCUCAGCAGGGGAGCACACGAGCACGACGGCCGCAUGCGGCCCGUGUGCAACGUUUGCACAUUCGUGUGUCCCGAAGGGAGGCAGACACGCACCCACACCCACACACGCACCCCCCCCACACACACGCAGGGGACUCCCAUUGCACCCAGGCGCUUGCAACCCUUUAAAUCACUCCCGGCUCCUCCGGCCCCUGGCUGAGCCCAAACCGCUCUAACGAGACACUGCACCGAAUUAACCCACUUGCUAAGGAAGCCGCGGUGCUCGGCGGUGCUCGGCGGAGCGGGAGCCAGGGCCGGCCCGCAGGCGGGGGGGCUGYGAUUCAGAGCCGCCGCCUUGCAUCCUGCGGGGGGGGGCUGGAGGCGGCUAAGGCGAAGCGGGGCUGGAGCCCUUUGCGCGCACAUUGUCCCCCUUGCGCGCUCAUCGCCCCCUUUGCGCGCACAGCGCCCCCGGCGCGGGCUGCAUUGCCCUCUCGCGUUGCUGGCGCGUCUCCCCCGUUUUUAGGCGCCCGCGGGGCUCCGUUGCGUCCCGUCUCCGCUCGCGUUUUCGCCGGUUCGUUUUUCCGCGGCCGCCAGCGGCUUUCAACGGGGCCGCGGAGGACGCGCGAGAUAAACGGGCAAAACAGCGCGGGGGGGAGCAGCGGCGGGGCGCGGAGCGCCGUGACCGCCCGGGGCUCGCUGCAGCCCGCCGCAGCCGCUCCGCUUGCCCCAGGUUUCCCGUCUAACAUCACCGGCGCUCGCUUGCGCCGCCAGAAGCGGGGGAAAAUCACGGCAGCAAGUGCCCCGGGGGGGGGGGCGGGUCCUCAACAUGCAGCGCAGAUAUACGCAGUCUGA